UACGUAGGAGGCAAGCGUUAUCCGGAGUUACUGGGCGUAAAGCGCGUGUAGGUGGAUUGGUAAGUUACUUAUAAAAGCUCCUGGCUAAACUAGGAGAGGUUGGGUGAUACUGCCAGUCUUGAAUAGAGGAGAGGUUGACGGAAUUCCGCGUGUAGUGGUGAAAUUCGUAGAUAUUCGCAAGAACACCAGUGGCGAAGGCGGCUCACUGGCCCGGUACUGACGCUGAGGUGCGAAAGCGUGGGGAGCAAACAGG
rnacentral:rRNA from 1 species